rnacentral:lncRNA from 1 species
GGCUUGUGUGAGAGAAAAUUGGAGCAUUUAAGUUAUGAUGAGGCACUGCAGGCUGUUGAGGAUCUCUGUUUAGAAGAAGGUAAGAAAAGGGAGCAUGUAACUGAAUUUGUCCGGAGAAGUUACGAGUCUGUUUUAAGGAAACGACGAGAGGAUCUCAUUGAAUGUGAUAAUGAACUUACCAUUAUGAGCAAUAGGUUUGAAUUGGAUGCUAUAUCAAAUAUCUUGAAGGAAGCAGAGUCUCUAAAUGUUAAUCAGUUUGGAUUUGAGGAAAAUUAUGGUGGCAUGACAUCUCAAUUAUGUGACUUGGAAUCUGGUGAAGACGAAGAUUGGAGAACGAGGGAUUAUCUGCAUCAGGUUGACUCCUGUGUAGAAGUUGCGAUAUCUAGACAAAAAGAACAUGUGUCUGUUGAGGUUGGUGCUUUACUCAUUGAUUGAUCCUUUUCCUACAUGUGAAUUGUACUACUAUGCUACUUAUCCUUACUUUCUGUAAAUGCAGCUCAGUAAAAUUGAUGCAAGAAUUAUGCGAGUAAUAGCUGCGAUGCAGCAGUUGGAAGCUAAACUUGAGCCUGCAUCUGCUUUUGAUUACCGGGCAAUCUUAGUACCCCUAGUGAAGUCAUAUAUGCGGGUUUGUUUUGGACUUUCUUACAUUCUAGUUGACUCAUCCUAUGCUUUUGCUCACUUUUUUAAUUUUGAUGGCUUUGUCUUGUUGUCUUUCUUUAUGUUCUCUCUCCAGGCUCACUUGGAGGAUCUUGCAGAGAAAGAUGCCACAGAGAAAUCUGAUGCCGCCAGAGAAGCAUUUUUGGCAGAACUUGCUCUUGAUUCUAAGAAGGGCAGCAGCGGAGGAAGUGAUAAUGCUCGUCAUAUGCAUGAGAAAACAAAAGAUAAGAAAAAGAACAAGGAUUUUCGAAAAGCCAAGGAUUCAAAGGUUCGAAUUUCGUGUUGAGAUAUCCCUUUGUGUUACCGCCUUCCUAGUUGGUAGUUUAUUGCUCAGCUGGAGCAUUUAUGGUUGGCAAUUUAUUCCUUUUCAGGCUAAUAGUGGCAGUGAGCUACAUAUGCUUUCCUCAGAGACUACUAAAGAAAUGUAUGUUUGUUUUCUAGUCAUUGAGCAUGUUAAUGUGAACGAUCUGAAGUUGAUCUUUGUUUUAUAAAUACGAGUAAGGUUUUGUUGCAGCUCAUAUCCAGUCACACACGAGGGAGAAGAUAUACAUGCUGAGAUAGUGAAUGCUGGAAAUGGUGACACCUUAGAACAAGAGGAAGAGGAAUUCAGGCGUAGAAUUGAGCUUGAAGCUGAGGAGAGAAAGCUAGAAGAAACUUUGGAAUAUCAAAGGCGUAUUGAAAAUGAAGCUAAACAGAAGCAUCUAGCUGAGCAACAUAAGAGAACUGUAGGGAUAAAUCCAGAAAAAGUUGCAGCAAUUGCUCACUCUGAUACUUACUUGAAGCAACAGGAAGAUGAUCAUGAUGUCAAUGUCCAAUGGAAAUAUAGAAAAAAAGUAAGUAUUUUAUAUUUGUAACUCCUGGAAUAAAAAAUAGAUGGAUAUUUGGUGCCUUUCGGCUUUCUUUCUUCGAGUCAUAUCUUGUCAAGUGCUGCUUAUUGUGUAGUUUGCAGAGGACAUUAUUGAACAGACUGUAACUUAUGACCUGCAACUUUUAGGAACCCAUGGUACAGAAGAAUGGAUUUUCAAAUGCCAUGGAAGGUUUUCUAGAGGAUGGCGUUGAAGGAGUUGGACAAAAAGCUGGUAACUUUACUUGGCUGUGUAAUUGUUAAUUUGUUUUUGCAAUAUGGUUUAGGAUUUUUAGAAUUGGAAUGCUUGUAACUUCUUGGAGUUUGGCCAUGUCUUAUAGGCUUGCCCAACGGAGGAAGCAUAGAGGAUGGCCUGUUGCCUUCUGAUCGACGGUCAGGAAGGAGAAAUAGACGGCAAAAAGGUGCAGCUAGACUUAACCAGCCCGUGCUAUCAGAAAAGGAAAACUUGGAAUUCAAAUCCUUGGAUGAAGCACAUGGUGAGUUCAAUAUAUGCAUUUCACUUUAUAAUGAACUCUUUUGAUGCGUAUUAUUUUGGAAACAGUUUUAAGUUGAAUUUUAGUUUAUGAUUUGCUCAUAACUUCAAUACUCUAAUGGGAACUUUAACAACUGUAUAAUACUUCAGAAUGAUUUGAAGACUCUGUUGAUCCUAACUUUUGGGCGAUCCUAACUCUUGCGCCCUGUCAUAGAAUGUGUUCCUUUGGUGGGUUUAGGUGAACGAUUAAGUAUCUACUUUGAAUUCAUUGGUGGGCAUAUUCUUUCUCACCUGGCCAUUUGCUAGUUAACAAUUUUUUUAAUUUAUUUUUCCGAGUUAACUAGUUGAUAUGUUUGAGUGUCUUUUGCUUUUUAACUUUCUUGUAGUUUCCUGUUUGUCAUGCAUCAAGACAUUGGCAUGUUGGUUUUGUUCUUGUGGUUUCCAGCUGAUUCUCAGUCAACUGGAUGUUAUUGGGUUCCAUCCAUCUUGUCUCUUUGUCUGAUCAUUAUCAUUUGAGUUUGCUCCCUUUCAUUGUUUUCUUCUUCUUGUUUCACUUUCUUCUGUGGUGUUGGCAGCAGUGCUCUCCUAUACGUGAUUGAAGGGGUUUUUUGGUCCUUGGCUAGAGUUAAAUGUGCAACCUCAUGUACAUGCAAAACGAUUCAGAAACUGAGCAUCAUGAAUUUCUUAGUUGUUUUUAGUAAUUAAUCUCAUAACUUUAAUCGACUCUUCUCAUAGUCAAAUUCUGAUAGGACUACAUAUCUCUUUAUUCAUGCUUGAUUGAAUUUGCUUCAUUGACCUUCUUUCUUUCGGUUUAAGUCCACCACAUGGUUAAAAGUUUGUUCAUUGUUUCUUAGGCUGUCUUACUUGACUAGCUUGGCCUUAUUUUAGGUAAAUGUUUUGGCCAGUUCAUUGAGGUGGUUUAUCUUGAGGUUCUAUAUCAUAUUAGUAAAUAUUUGGGCUGAUAUGAAUAAAGUAUUUCCAUUUUGUCUUAUUUUUUGAUUUGGUGUUUUCAAUGUAAAAAUUGUAUCAAUGGGAUUGGCAAGCGUGCAAAGGCAGAUCGCUUGUAUUUUAGCUGUGCGUAAUUUGACGAGACUCGAAUAUUUUAUGGAACUUAGAGAAGUUUUUCUAUCAUUUUUUUUUACUCUCUUUGGACAUUUGGGUUUCUUGUUUAAUUCUUUUUUUUUAAGGAUGUAGAUGGAGAAUGAGGAGGACAGGUUGUAUUUUGAACAUUAAAAAAGAAGGAAGAAACAGACAAACAUCUCUUGCCUUGGCAGGUGCCAAGAGGGGUUCAGUGUGGUGUUUGGAACCCAUGAACCAAUUUGGAGAAUGACUGAAAAGAAGUAAUGUUUUUCCCGAGUUAAGUUUAUGUGCAAAAAGUCAAAGAUAUAUACACUAGCACAGCUUAUCUACGGAUCUUGUGGUUUUGACUGGAUGAGUUUUUGAUGGGACUCAUGACGGAAAAAGACAAAUAUUUUGAAUUUAUUGCUUUUGUUGAUAGAUGAAAUCUGUAUCUCCAUUUUGGUUAUUUAUUGAUUUAUUGAGGGAGGCUAUGCAACUCUACCAAAUGUGAACUUCCUCGGUGAGGACUGUCAAAUUAGAAAUCUGAUCUGCAUAAUAAUUGAGGUAAAUACUGAACCUUAUGAGGUGUUGCCUCCCUUGGUAGUGUUUCGAGACCCUUCACCCUACUCCACAAUUGUAACCUGGGCACUACAUGAAAGAGAUGGGACCACUAUCAGUCUGCCGCUUCCGGUGUUCGAGCGGCUUCAUUCCUUUUUCAUUUCCUCUUUCCCAGUUCCUAGCUCCAAGACUGGUGGAAGAAGGGGCAAGAGUGGUUUAGCUCUUACACCUUCCUACGCAAACAGCUGCUCUUAGACAUUCUCUUUUCGUGUUGCUAGAGUUAUUUCUUCCUAGUUGUUUCUCUCCUUUCAUUUUGAAAGUGAAACCAAAGGAAAAAAGGAAGAAAUGAAAAGACAACACUGAGCAUCAAGCUAAGAAGUUGCAUUGUCCUGUCUGUCUCAUCCUUGAGGGAGAGAGGAGCUGUAUAAAUGCAGGAUGCUUGUGCUCAUUAAGUGGUUGCUUAUGCCCUGUUCAGUGUUAAACAACCAAGAUAAAAGGAUAAAAAUAGGUUACUCUUUGUUGUAUUAUCAGGUUAUAAGGGGGAAUUUCAUACAAUGAUAAUCAGUAAUUGUAGCCAACUCCUGAAGGUUGAGGGUAAUAACCAAUCUAGUCAUUAGUCAUGGUGGAUAAAAGUCGUGUGGUCUUUAGCUGCUCUUUGCAAUAGAUUCAUUUGAUGCAUUAGAGUUUUCAUCUGUCCUGCAAGUCAUAGUGCUUCAAACAAGCAUCAGAUAUUAACGGUUGUGGUAGUUGGGACGCUUUAUUGGUAGGUAGAUUUAGGAUUGUUGACUUUUGAACUGUCUUUUAAUGUAGAAUAAUUUGAUGGUAAUAGUCAGUUUUUUAGUUUUUCUUUGUUUUUGGGGGCAGGGGUGUGUGAGGGGUAGGGAAAUAGUCAUAACUUUGUAUUAAGUGUGAAGCAUAAGUUGGGUCUUGGGUUUCAGUGAUGGUCAACCAAUUAGGAGGCCCCAAACGAGAGGCAUUUUUUUUUUUUUUUGCUUUUGCAUUCUUCUUGGUGGAAGUAUAUGGGAAUUUUUUUGCUUGUUUUUGUUGAAAGUGAAUCAAAUAGCAUUUUUUCCUCAGUUCUUUAAUGUAAUUGUGAGAGAUUUGUCCCAAAAUCCAUAUGUGCAUGUCAUGUCUAACUAAAAAAUUGUUGACCAGAUAUGAAAGAGAAGCAGGAAGCUUGUGAGCUUUUUGGUAUCUUACUUUUAACUUUCAUAUUGAUACCUUCCAUAAAAUUUAGUAUUUUACUAACAAAAUUGAUAUUGACAACUAGCAGAUGAUUUUGAACAAAAAACAUUUGGAACAAAAAACUGCAUAUGGUAUUGGUUGUGCGAUCAUUAGUUUGGUAGACGUUUGGAACUUUAGAUGGAUAUUCAGAUUUUAUUUGAUAGGUUGACAUAUCGAAUAUGUGCACAUAAUUAGUAUUUUAUGAAGUAUGAGCUGCUUGAUGUCUCUCACCUGGUUUGAACUCUGCUGUGGAAAUUGGUGCAGGAGUUCGAAAUUUCCAAGAAAAUACUGGAUCAUUAUCCAUUCGGUAUCAGUUUGGAAAUACUGAAGUAAAAAAUAUGUUUGAUGAUUGAGAAUCCAGUUUUUGGUUAAAGCCGAGUGAAACCAACAUCUGAAAUCAAGCUUUUAUCCAACUUUGAACAAUUGGCAUUUUUGAUGUGUUGAAUUUUUUAUACCUGUAGUUGUACUGAAAAUUUUGCUGGGCACCGAUGAAUCUCAGAGAGUGAAUAUCUGUGGGUUUCUUCUGAGUGGUAGGGUAGGUUCUUUGUUUUGGAUGUCCUUAAGAUUUUUCCCUGAAAUGCUUUUCUCUCUGUUAGCAGUUAUUUUAUGCUUGUUUUUUUUAUGGAGUAUGGAAAGGGUUGUGUGUCUUAACCUAGAAAUGAAUGACAGUGAACAUGGCUUGACAAAUUUUGCCAUAGGGAUGUCCUAUCUAAUGUUUUCAUAAGGUUUAGAGGUGAUCAUCUUGUUGAUGUGGUCUAAGAUAAUGCUUUUCAAUGCUUUACUAUUGCAAGUUCUUGGCCGAUCCUCAUUUUCCCUGUUAAAGUUCAAGGAGACUGGUAUAAUCUCACUCCUGUUGCAAUUAGUUCGAUACAUAAAUGAAAGUUCGUUGUUGUUUUCCAGAGUGUUUAUUGUCAUUGUAAUGGAAUUAACUUUUCUUCAAAUCGCACAUUUUUUCAUUUUACAUUACUUUUGUAACUUCAUGUAACAUUUAUAGUAUUCUCCUGUCUUUUUUAGAUGCACACUCUGAUUUCUAUCAUUUCACAUUGCUUUUGUUAUUUCAUGUAACAUUUACAGUAUUCUCCUGUCUUUUUUGAUGCACACUCUGAUUUCUAUCAUAUUUGUUGCUCAUCCUAAUAGCAUGUUUUUAAGAGAUUUACUGUAUUAUGUUACAACUGCACAAUUAUUUGAAAGAUUAACAAUCCUGUUCUUUUGUUUUAGUUUCUUUUUCCUGCAGAAUUAACUUUUAAGAUUUCCUAUGAUAUCUUUUUAUUUGAGUUCAUCUUUUAGUAAAGAUUUACAGGAUAAAAUUAUUCUUUCUUUUUCUUAUUUUUGGAGGAAAAAUAUCAUUAUUCUUGUCCUGCAGAUGAUGGAACAAAGACAUUGAGACAACUACAGGCAGAGGAGGAUGAUGAAGAAAGGUUCCAAGCUGACCUCAAGAAAGCUGUACGCCAAAGUCUUGGUUUGUCUCUUUCUCCAGACAUGAUGUGCUUGUUCUUUGUUUUAAAUUAUUUUGUUUGCUGGUUUAGCUAAUUAUUUAGUGAGUCAUCAGUUCAUGUUGUAUAUUUUACCUGUGUAGCAUAUUAGAAUUAGUAUAAUCUUUUGAACUUUUCAUUUUUUUAAGAUUUAAAAUCUUGUGCUGUCUAUGAAGAAUCCAUUGCGUGCUUUCCUAUCUCUGUGUUUGGAGUGCUGUUAUUUGCUUUUAAUCUUUUUUUUGGAGAAAUCAAGAAUUGCAUUGGGUCACUGAUGAUUUACGUAUACAUGCAUGUAUUUAUGUAUGUAAUUUUAUACAUGUAUGUGAUUGUUGUGUUGUUUCUGUCUGUAGUGAACAUGCAUAUAUUUGGAUUUUUUUGUCAGAGUCUUCUACAAACAAGUGAGCAAUUUUUUUCCUGAUGCCAAUUUUUUUGGAAGAUGCAGAAUGACCUUAUUCUCUUCUGAGUACAGCCUCAUUCAGCUUGUCUAAAGCUUCCUUUUGCAUGUACUAUGUUGGAAAAUUUGCCCGCAAGAAUGAAUGGGAUCUCUUAUAUGAAAAAAGAUUAGUUGCCUCAUUUUGGAAGAUAACUUGUCCUGAUUUCUGGAUUUUCCCAAACCUGUUUGUUGUGAUCAUGAACAAAAUUUCCUGGCUUAAUCAGUACUUGUCUGCAAAAAUAAAAAAAUUACUAAAGGAUAGGGUGGUUUGGUGAAUUUGGUAAAGAUUGCAACACAACUAACUUUCUUGGCUUUUGACCCAGGGACUAUGACUAAAUUUAGUCUGAUCAUUAGAGAUAUUUCAUGGUGGUGCGCUUGCUUGCAAAUUCAGUGUUAUAGUUUCUCAUGAGUCAAUUAAAUAACUUGUACCUGAUGUUUCCAUCUUUUUGUGUUGUUAAUGCCAGAUUCUUUUCACGCGCAUCAGAAAUUGCCUCUUGCAGCGAAGUUGGGAAUGCCGCCCAAAACCUUUCCUGCAGCAACUGACUCAGUCAUUUCAGCUGAUGAGAUCAUGACUGAAAACUUAGAUCAGAUGGAUGUAUAUGGUACAGGGUUAAAGAAUGAAAUUGGCGAAUACAAUUGCUUUUUAAAUGUCAUUAUUCAGGUUUGAUAUAGGAACCUUUUCCAUGUAUUACUUUGUUAUUGUGGUGUUGGCUUCUUCUUGGGGUCAACGAUUAGCUUGGUUUUUUUUUAUCUUCAAGUAUCAUGUCUAUGCUGAGUUCUGUUAUUUUUGGCGUCUUUUAUUUUCAGUCUUUGUGGCACUUACGACGGUUUAGAGAUGAAUUUUUGAGGAGGUCAUUAUCAGAACAUGUACAUGUUGGGGAUCCUUGUGUUGUAUGUGCAUUAUAUGAUAUUUUUGCUGCUCUGAACACUGCUUCAGUGGAUGCACAAAGAGAAGCUGUUGCCCCUACUUCCCUGAGAAUUGCCCUUAGCAACCUCUAUCCGGAUAGUAAUUUCUUCCAAGAAGUAAAUCUUUGAGCUGUUUCUGGUGGUUCUUCUUUAUUAUUUAUUUUUUUUUCAAGUUUUCCUUCUAUCUGCAAUUUUAUUAGCCUGUAAAACCUACAGGAGUGAAUGCUUGUGGUGUCUGAUUACUCCUCAGUUCAUAAAUUUUGGCUAACACGAAUGCUACAUACAGGGACAAAUGAAUGAUGCUUCAGAAGUGUUGGGCGUCAUAUUUGAUUGCCUUCAUCGAUCAUUUACUUCAACCAUGUGUACUUCUGAUGCCGAAUCAUUAGAUAGCAACUGCAUGGGCUCUUGGGAUUGCACAAAUGGUGCUUGCGUUGCACAUUCUCUUUUUGGCAUGGACAUAUUUGAAAGAAUGAAUUGUUACAAUUGUGGUCUGGAGUCCAGACACUUAAAGUAUACUUCAUUCUUCCACAAUAUCAAUGCCAGUGCUCUGCGUACUAUGAAGGUAUAUUAUGUUUGAGUCUGGUCAAAUAUCUAAGUUUAUUACAUAAAUGAUAGUGGAAACUCUUAUCCUCUUAACAAAAAAUGUGGUUGUCUGGGGAUACCUUUCAGGUUAUGUGUCCAGAAAGCUCUUUUGAUGAGCUUCUGAACCUUGUUGAGAUGAAUCACCAAUUAGCUUGUGAUCCUGAAGCUGGUGGCUGUGGAAAGCUUAACUACAUCCAUCAUAUUCUGUCGACCCCACCACAUGUUUUCACAACAGGUAUCUAUCUGUUUUUUUGUUUGUUUCAGUCUUUUGCCUAAAUGAAAGAGUGAAUUGGAUGUCGAAAGAACUACUUUUUUUGUUCAUUGUCGAUAUUGCAGAAGAUCUAAAUUACCUCUUUGCCUAUGCAUCUUUCAGUUUUGGGUUGGCAGAAUACCUGUGAACAUGUUGAUGACAUAAAGGCCACAUUGACAGCCUUAUCUACAGAGAUGGAUAUCAGUGUCCUUUAUCGUGGUCUUGAUCCAAAAAAUAGGCACUGCUUGGUCUCAGUGGUAUGCAUCUUUGGAUUAUGUUUUGGUGAUUAUGAGCGAACUUGUAUCUGAAAACUGGAUUAGUUGUCCUAUCAUUACUGGUCUCAACUAUUGUUACUUUUCUGGAAAAGUUUGAUUAUUUGCUCAUUUUUGCGUCCUUUAACAUUUCAAUAUAAUCAGAUAAGAGGUUCCUUAGACUUGCAUACAAAUAUGUGGUACGUGCAGAUGUGCAAGGCAAAAGUCCAUUAAAUUGUGCUUAUUUUUCUCUGUUUCAGGGGAUCUUAUACCGGUCAAGAGUCUUGGUUUCCUUGAUUUGGAACUAGCAUUAGAUCUUCUGCUUCCCUUUUCCCCUAAAUCAUUGCUUUUUCUUUUUCCUGUACUCUAAAAUUUAUUUUUUUUUAAAAAGAGACGCAGCUAAGGUAGGUAUGCAUACAUGAGUUCAUAUAUUUCCCAUUAAAGUUUUGAUGGCUGUUUUUUUAUCAGAUAUCUAAAAGAUGUUGAAUUCCUUGUGAUUCUCUGAUUUUUCUAGAGAAUUUUGUGUUUCUUCAUUUCGUAUCAAGUGAGACUUGGAAACAACAAUUAAGCUUUAUAUGACAAGAUGAAUUUUGCAUUUCUGUCUUAGUUGGUAAUUUAUUUUAAAUAAUUCACUUGGUUGGAGUUAUGAAAGAAUUCAUGAAGAAGCUUAUGAACCUUGCGUGAUAUUUAUAGCUAUUUGAUUGAACAGUUAGUUAGAAGGUUUAAAUGGUUUAAGCAUUCUACUCAAGCUUCACAAUAGGUUACUGAAUACUGUUCAAAUUGAUGACAUAAGCUGUGUCAUGGCUAAUUAUCAUUUGUAACUCUUUUACUUUUAUGCUGGAUGUCAAAUGCAACAUUGUCAAAUCCCUAGAGAAGAUAAGAAAAAAAUAUUAAGAGAUUCUGAUUGAACAGUUAGAAGGUUUAAAUGAUUUGAGCAUUCUACUUAAGCUUCACAAAUGUAUGUUUACUAAUAUUACAGCUUGGUUAUUUGUGGGCUAAAAAUAUUUAAAACUCUUGAAACAUCUGUUGUGGGGGUAAGUAUUUUUUUUUUCCAAGAAAUAAGGGAAAAGCUAUAUGACCUCAAAGCUGCACUUGAUACAUGAUUAAAAUAAUUGUUCACUUUCUUGAGUGUGGUUGAAAAUUCCAGCCAAAAUUCAUAAUUGAUAAUUAUAAGGGCAAAUUGGACACUUUGCAAAUUGUCUGGUGUGUCUCUAUCUAUGGCAUCUUUAAUUUAUCCUUGGCAUUCUUUCUAAUUUUAUCAGUAUUUUCUUUGUUCUUUUUUAGCUUUCAGAUAUCUUACCUGAUUCCAUUUAAGAUUAUCUUAAGCCACCACCAAAACAUCUACAGUGACCCCAGAAGUUUAUUUUGGUGGUGGUGUUGGUUUUUUUUCUUUUUUUUUUGUUCGGUUUUUUUUUUUUUGGGGGUGGGGGUGGGAAGGGUUCAUAUUUGUUGAAAAAUAGAAUCUUAAGACUUCAAGUAUGAUACAUAUUUUAAUAAAACUUUGGAGUAUAAUUGUCUGAAUAGAAGUAAUGUGAAGAAGGGAAGUUUGUUACAAAACCAAAUGUUGCAAGACUAUGAAUGACAUUUAUUCUCGGUAAGUUUUAUUCUUGGCAAGAAUAUGAGGGAUUUGAGAGUUUACUAUAUUUCCAAAUUUACAAGGAGUUAUGAAGAUCAUCUAAGAAUAAUAGAAUUUUAAAUCUGUGAUUCUGCAGGUAAAUUACUGAACGGAGAGCGCAAACUUGCUUGAAUAAUUUUGCAUUAACUAUACUUCUAGUGAAUGUCAUUAGCCAUAAGGAUCAGUUGGCUCCUGGGAUUAAAGGGUUGCACUACCAUCUGGUCCUAUCCCAAUUUUUGAGUUUUGGACCAUUGAUGCUUAAUUCCACUGAACAUUUAUCCCUUGGAUAAAUAAAUAAUUUCUUGCUUGAUUCCAGUUUAAUUGUCUUUGAUAACAAGACCACUAUUUGACUUAUUUGUGGCCAAUGACAUAUCAAGAUCAUAAGAGAACCGAAAGAAGUUACACAUGGAUGAUGUGCUCAUAUAUGUUGCUUGAUAUCAAUUAUCUGGCAGAUUUUACUUUGAAAAGCAAACCAUAGGAAAGUUACUUUAAGGAGAAUUAGACAUGCCAUUAUUAAUUCCCUAAUAACCAUUCUUACCUAGUAUCUACCUUACCAGAGAGCAUUUGGUUGUUUGGAGAAUCUCUUUCUGAAUAUAAUAGUAUGUUUAGUUUUGUACCUUUGCCUUUUGAAUUGAGCUAUAUUUAUGCACUCCACGAAUAUUUUAUCAUUUUGGUAAAGGCUCUUUUUUUUUUGGAUGGGGUUCGGGCAUUUUUUUUUUUGUGUUGUUUUUUUUUGUGGGGGGGGGGGGGGUGAACUGUGAUAUGUUUAGUUGCUCUGAUUCAAGCCAUCAUUUUUUAACUCCACUUGUUUGACAUUAGAUAUACGUGUAUCAGAUACUCUGGCGCACUCUUAGCAAAGAUAAAUAUGUCAACAGAGAAACCUUCCCUUUAAAUGCUGUUCUCUCUCUCUCUCUCUCUCACACGUGCACACACACACCCCUCUUCUGAAAAAUAUGUUGCUUAAAAUUCCUGAUCUUUUCAGCACCAUGGACAAGAUACAAUGAACAACUUCUAAUGCAUUUAAAUGCUAUUCGAUAGCUUGUGAAGUGGUUAUUUUAGUUGUAUUAGUGAUGAAUGUGAAUGGACCCUCAUCUUUGAAAAAGAAUGGUGGAAAAUUUUUUUUCUAAUGGUCUUUUUUCAAUUUCUUUUCUAGGUUUGCUAUUACGGGCAGCAUUAUCACUGUUUUGCGUACAGUCAGGAUCAUGAACGGUGGCUUAUGUAUGACGACAAAACCGUGAAGGUAAAUCUCCUUUGUCUUGCUUUUAUACCUUCUAUACCUUUGUUUCAUGAAACAAGUAAACAUCUGAGGUUUGAAAUAUAGGUAAUUGGUGGCUGGGAGGAUGUUCUUACCAUGUGUGAGAGAGGGCAUUUGCAACCUCAAGUCCUCUUUUUUGAAGCCGUGAAUUAGUGUGAUGGGAGUUCAUCGCAUAAAUUAUAUAUUUACCAUGGGCUACAAGUCGCUCGUUGAACGCAUCCAUGAAUUGAUAUACUUGCCGUGUACAGCUAGCUCUUCAAGAUGCAUACUUCCUUUAAUAUAAUAGGGGAAGUUGGAAAUGUCACGAGUCCAGAGUUGUAAAAUACGAGUAAAAGGAGAUUUUGUUGUGUAUUUCAGGAGGAGAGCAGGAGACAUUGGCCUGCAGCAAAGUUUUGUCUGAAGAUUAGUGAGUAAAUUGAACCGAGAGAGUAGACUUUGGUG